CUUUGGCGGAGGGGCGGGACUUGCACCGGCGUCUCUUCUUCUAACUGCAGUUUGUGGCAGCGCCAUUUUGAAUGUGCGGCUGCCGCGGGUGUGAGUCGGCGGAGGACGAGUUGCCGACUCGUCUACAUAGCGGUCUCUCGAUUGUCGAUAUUUUGUUGCCAUAGGUUUCUGUAGAGACGUAUACAUAUAUAUAGACACACUAUAUAUAAAUCUAGGCCUGUAUCCGGUGUCCGAGGCGAACUCACUAAGAUGAUGUUAAGAGGAAACCUGAAGCAAGUGCGCAUUGAGAAAAACCCGGCCCGCCUUCGCGCCCUGGAGUCCGCGGCGGGCGAGAGCGAGCCGGCGGCCGCGGCGGCCAUGGCGCUCGCGCUUGCCGGGGAGCCGGCACCGCCCGUGUCCGCGCCGCCGGAGGACCACCCGGACGAGGAGAUGGGGUUCACUAUCGACAUCAAGAGUUUCCUCAAGCCGGGCGAGAAGACGUACACGCAGCGCUGCCGCCUCUUCGUGGGAAACCUGCCCACCGACAUCACGGAGGAGGACUUCAAGAGGCUCUUCGAACGCUAUGGCGAGCCCAGCGAAGUCUUCAUCAACCGGGACCGUGGCUUCGGCUUCAUCCGCCUGGAAUCCAGAACACUGGCUGAAAUUGCAAAAGCAGAGCUGGAUGGCACUAUUUUGAAGAGCAGACCUCUACGAAUUCGCUUUGCUACGCAUGGAGCUGCCUUAACUGUCAAGAACCUUUCUCCAGUUGUUUCCAAUGAGCUGCUAGAGCAAGCAUUUUCUCAGUUUGGUCCAGUAGAGAAAGCUGUUGUGGUUGUGGAUGAUCGCGGUAGAGCUACAGGAAAAGGUUUUGUAGAAUUUGCAGCAAAACCUCCUGCACGAAAGGCUCUGGAAAGAUGUGGUGAUGGGGCAUUCUUGCUAACAACGACCCCUCGUCCAGUCAUUGUGGAACCCAUGGAGCAGUUUGAUGAUGAAGAUGGCUUGCCAGAGAAGCUGAUGCAGAAAACUCAACAAUAUCAUAAGGAAAGAGAACAACCGCCGCGUUUCGCUCAACCUGGGACAUUUGAAUUUGAGUAUGCAUCUCGAUGGAAGGCUCUUGAUGAAAUGGAAAAGCAGCAGCGUGAGCAGGUUGAUAGAAACAUCAGAGAAGCCAAAGAGAAACUGGAGGCAGAAAUGGAAGCAGCUAGGCAUGAACACCAAUUAAUGCUAAUGAGGCAAGAUCUAAUGAGGCGUCAAGAAGAACUCAGACGCUUGGAAGAACUCAGAAACCAAGAGUUGCAAAAACGGAAGCAAAUACAACUAAGACAUGAGGAGGAGCAUCGGCGGCGUGAGGAAGAAAUGAUCCGACACAGAGAACAGGAGGAACUGAGGCGACAGCAAGAGGGCUUUAAGCCAAACUACAUGGAAAAUGGUGAUAAAAGAAAACGUGGCUGAAGUUACAUGAAGUGCAGCUUGCAGUGUAAUUCAGAAGAGUUAAGACCAGAAGUACUGGAAUCAUACUUCCUUUCAGACAGCCCUGCCUUCCUGAUGAACAGUCGGUCACCUUCUCACGUGUUCCUGGCGCUGUUCGUUCACAUCUGUAGCUGGACUCCUGCUGCCUCCUUUACUGCUCCUGACCGGCACUGUGAACUCAGAUCUCCCUGUUCCCCCGGAAAGCUAUGAAAUCAGAUACACUGCAUGAUUCAAUUUAGGUGAAAAAGUCCAAUCUCGGCCCUCACUUAGCUAGAAAACCACAAAUAUCUACUGUCUUUUGAAGUUUUGAGACUUGAGAUAUAAAAGGAAACAGACUAACAUCAUAGUUUUAUUGACAAAACCAUAGGAAAAGGCAGUGUUAGGAUGUAAAGUAAAAAUGGUUCUCUGAAAUAUCUACACAAACGUGAAUUCUGAAAAGUUUUCAUUAAAAUCGUAUUUCAUACAAUUAUAAACUAAUGAGGAACAAAACAAUUGUCACCUUCUGCAUAAUGCAGCCUGAGCUCGACUGAUGCUUAAGCAGCAGGAACUUGUCUCAGACAAGGCGGCGGCUCCCACACAGCAGCCAGGCUUCGUUACCUAAGCUCCAUCUUCCCAGCUGGUGUUCAAAACUGGGGCACAAGAUCUGGCUUUUCAAAAAAACCGUGUAGACUCCAAGAAACUUUUUUUUUUUUUUGAGACAAGGUCUCAUUCUGUUACCCAGGCUGGAGUGCAGUGGCCUUUGACGGCUCUCUGCAGCCUUGACCUCCCCGGCUCAAGCAAUCCUUUCACCUCAGUCUCCGAGUACCUGGGACCACAGGUGUGUUCCACCCCGUGUUACCCAGGCUGGUCUCGAACUCCUCGGCCUAAGCAAUCCUCCAGCCUCAGCCUCCAAAGCACUGGGAUUAUAGGUGUGAGCCUAUAAUAUUCUUUUAGGCCUCAUAGUGUACAAGUGACUACAGCACAUUUACAAGUGACUGCCAUCUCCAGAAUGUGUGGCAACUGUCUACUAGAAAAAGAUCAGGCCUCCCAACCCUUUCAGGGGCAGCAAACCCACACUUUAUUUGGUGCUUGGGUAGCUUGAAUAUAACAUGGCUCCCCUUGCUGUAAGCAAAUGCUUUAGAGCUGAACUUUUUCUUCUUUUUUCUUUUUUUAAAGCACAGAAGUUCACCAGGGCUAGUAGAAAUUUCAAGGAGAAUCGCUUGAACCCAGGAGGCGGAGGUUGCAGUGAGCUGAGAUCGUGCCAUUGCACUCCAGCCUGGGCAACAGGAGCAAAAUUCCGUCUCCAGAAAAAAGAAAGUAAGUCUUUAAUUUUCUUAAAUAAUCCUCAUAUGUACUAUCCACAUUGUGGAAAAACUGAAAUACGCAGUCUGGACACUGCACUGAGAUUCCAGCAUACUGGCACAGACACAGCUAUGUCGCAUCUUACAGACUACAACAGACAACAGGCUUAACUGCAAGAGGUUUACAGGCAAAACUUUACACAGAUGUGCUAGAGGAAUUCCAAACUGCUGUCAGAGAGAGUGUAGGAAUGGGUCUGAAGAGAACUCCACCCAAUCCCUGCUGUUUGGUCACUGCAGCUGCACUCUGUAUGCACCUAUUAGCAACUUAACCUGUUGAAAGAAAAGAAUGCAGCUGUCAGUACAGAUCCAGAUUUCCCCUUUCUUACAAGAAAAAAACUAUACAUGGCCAAGAUCUGCUUCUAUUAUUUGGCAAUAUUUUCAAGUUGCUUAUCAAUUUACAUUGUUAGAUCAUUGCCAUUUUAAUUCAAGAAAUAAUUCCAAGUGCUAUUAAUUUUAUAUUACUGUUUUAUUAGAGAGACUAUUUUGUCCAGCUUCCUUUCAUACAAGAGAGGUUAGGGACCGACCUAAAGACAUGUAUUUGGCAAUUCCACACCAAGGCCUAGAACAUGAUUCAGAUGGCUCCAUCCUCUAGAGAGGCGUUCUUCUCAGCUGCAACCUAGUCCUGUUCCUGCCGCAUUAUUACGUCUAACACACUGUAGAUGGAGACAGGGUGCACCUAGCAUCACUACCCUAGGAAGUGCAUGUCUCUAGGACAGGUACACCGGGAUUCUUGGAAUUUUUUUCUAAUGUUGAUAAAGUAAUCUGGAGUAACAACUUGAGUACUGACACUACAUAUGAAGAAAGGAUUGUCACCUUGGCAGAGGGUGCUUCUGUCAACCUUAUGAAGAGUUUAUUGGGACCUGCAAUAGGGCUGAAUGAGUAAACAAAAUGACUGUCCUACAAUGGAAAGAGAAAAAAAAAUCAGUGCUUUUUCAAACUUACACCAGAAACUGUUAAAACACCAAUGAUGUAAAAGAAUCAUAAAUAAGUUUUGUUUUUUAUUUCAUAAGAUGCUGUGAAGGAGGCCAAGGCGGCCAAUUGCUUGAGCCCGUAAGUUGGAGACCAGCCUGACCAACACGGUGAAACCCCAUCUCUACAAAAAAUACAAAAAAUUAGCCGGAUGUGGUGGCGUGCAUCUGUAGUCCCAGGUAGUUAGGAGGCUGAGGCGGGAGGACUGCUUGUGCAUGGGAAGUCAAGGCUCCAGUGAGCUGUGAUCCGCGCCACUGCACUCCAGCCUGGUCAACAGAGUGAGACCCUGUCUCAAAAAAAAAAAAGUGACUGACUUUUCCCUUGAUUUAUUAAAAAUAUACAAAUGACAAAAUCAGUCCAGGAAACUGGAUUAGAAUGCACCCAGCAAUACACAGUACAAGUGUUAAAAUGGCUAUAUGUAGGGAAUUUUGCCUAAUUCAGUCCAAGGAAAUAAUUCUAAAAGUGGCAAAGUAUGUACAAAGAAUCUUUGAGAUCAUUAAGAAUUUAUAUUCAGAACAAUGCUAGCCCUAAGACAGUAUGGUAAGCACAAUUUAAGGCAAAAAAAUAAACAGGAAAAAUUCCUACUGACAAAAUUUAGGAUAAUUACGGGUAUUGCCUCAUUCCCAACCACUAUUAUUGGAUUAUUUUCUGAAUGAUUAUAUUUUAUUAAGACACAGGAAUUUAAAAUUAAGUCACCUAUGCUUUUGAUUAGAAGAAUUUACUUUUCAAUAGUGAAAUACAGAGUAUCUUACCAGAAAAACAGGAAGUUGAAAUUUAUCGUUCAGAACUACAGCUUGUACACUACAUGGUCCACAGAGCCGAGCAAUAACUUCUUUACCCAAAAAGUUUGCGUGGAAGAUAAACAGCAGGAUGCCGGAGCCUGAAAAUGGGAGGUGUGUGUGGAUUACUUCAGACGCAGCCUUCAGCCCCCAGAGAGAGGAACACUCAGCGCCAGACGGAAGCAGGCCCCAAGCUGGACCUGGCCAGACAGGCAUCACCCACUCCGCCUGGAGGUGCAGAGGAGGUUGGCCCUCUCAAAGCUUGUGUCACCCGGCAUUUUUCAACCCACAGAACUCUUCUUACCUUUUGCCCAAGUAAUCUCUACUGACAGUUCCUGGAAAAGACUUAAGUAUGAUUUUCUACACUGUAAGUUAUUAAACUGGUAUUUGAAACAUUACUGCUGAAUGUGCACCUGUCCCGGGGACAUUCCUGUGGUGGGCACCUUUGGGUGUGGGUCUGAGUGGUUUUCCAUUUUCUUCCACAUACCCUUUUGCCCCUUCCAAUUUUUCUGAUUAAUACAUACCCAAAAUUGGCCAGGCAUGGUGGCUCAUGUCUGUAAUCCCAGCACUUUGGGAGGCAGAGGCGGGCAGAUCACUUGAGGUCAGGAGUUCAAGACCAGCCUGGCCAACAUGGUGAAACCCCCGUCUCUACUAAGAAUACAAAAAUUAGUUGGGUGAGGUGGCGGGCACCUGUAAUUCUAGCUACUCGGGAGGCUGAGGCAGGAGAAUUGCUUGAACCUGGGAGGUGGAGGUUGCAGUGAGCCAAGAUCGCACCACUGCACUCCAGCCUGGGGAACAGUGUGAGACUCCU